rnacentral:rRNA from 1 species
GCGCUGGCGGCGUGCUAAUACAUGCAGUCGAGCGAAUGGAUUAGAGCUUGCUCUUAUGAAGUUAGCGGCGGACGGGUGAGUAACACGUGGGUAACCUGCCCAUAAGACUGGGAUAACUCCGGGAAACCGGGGCUAAUACCGGAUAACAUUUUGAACCGCAUGGUUCGAAAUUGAAAGGCGGCUUCGGCUGUCACUUAUGGAUGGACCCGCGUCGCAUUAGCUAGUUGGUGAGGUAACGGCUCACCAAGGCAACGAUGCGUAGCCGACCUGAGAGGGUGAUCGGCCACACUGGGACUGAGACACGGCCCAGACUCCUACGGGAGGCAGCAGUAGGGAAUCUUCCGCAAUGGACGAAAGUCUGACGGAGCAACGCCGCGUGAGUGAUGAAGGCUUUCGGGUCGUAAAACUCUGUUGUUAGGGAAGAACAAGUGCUAGUUGAAUAAGCUGGCACCUUGACGGUACCUAACCAGAAAGCCACGGCUAACUACGUGCCAGCAGCCGCGGUAAUACGUAGGUGGCAAGCGUUAUCCGGAAUUAUUGGGCGUAAAGCGCGCGCAGGUGGUUUCUUAAGUCUGAUGUG